AUGCAAAGGUACAGCUGUCUAUGAACCAGGAAGUAGUUCAUCCCAGACGCUGAAUCAGCCAGUGCCUUGAUGUCGGACUCUCCAGACUCCAGAAGUUGUUGGUGAGGCAGCCAGGAGAUUUCACUAGCUGGACAGGGCUUGCCCCAGGGCUGCUGCCGCUGAGAUCUUGGGAAUUCUGACAAGCACUGACAGAAGCUGGGAAUUCUUAUCGUGUCAGUCUCCUGGACUUCUGUCUGAGGGGUCUGCUGGAAGUGAGAGUGGCUUAUGCCAGGAGUGACCUUUCUGGAUCUUGUGUGGAUUGCAUCUUUUGCACUCUCCUUCAGGGAUACCUCUUGCAUCCUGGUGAAGCCAAAACAGGACACUGGAAGCAUUGGUUAUAUUGCCAAGACAUUGACUGGAAUGUCAUGUUUGAGAGAGACAUAUAUGGACUCAGAUAUGAUCAGACAGCUUUAAGGAACUAAGGUUGGCUUUAUGGAGCCAAUAAAAUCUCGUGGGAAAAUUGGCCUGGUACUUUGCUUACAAUGUUCCUGGCAGUCUUACCAGGGAGAAAGAAACAGAAAAAGAGAAUUUGGGCAGCUG